UUGUACAAGAACUAAACACCUCAGGAUCAAUAGAGAAGCCUGGUUUUUGGAUCAGUUUGUUCGGUAAUUGACUUUACUUGGCCUGUUGGAGUGUUCCGGUGGGCAAUGGAUCGUGGUGACGCUGCGUUCGUCCGAAGGGCUUGCGUUUAUGCGCUGGAACGGGAGUGUGUCUGGAGUUGACGAGACUGAACUCAUCAGCCGGUCGGCCAUUUGAUCACACGAGAUUUGAUCGAUGCCCCCUUCUGUCACUCAUCAGUGAUGGGUCGAGCGCAGGUGUUCACCGAAGUUCGCAGCAUUUCUGUCAAUGGCAGUUGUGCGCCUACUGUACAUUGCGACAGGCGAAUGGAGAGUACUUGUACCGCCACAGCUCGGAUACAGCAGGAGCUGAAAGACCUUACGACCGGCAGCACACGCCGCCAGAGUGCGUGAGGAACACGCAGCCGGUUGAUAGCGCUCGUUCCGCUUUUGAGACUGGUUGGAACAUCCUGUCCGACUAACGGAACUUCAGCAAGGCAGAUGUAACAUGAUCGUCAUAUACCAGAUGAUCUCUGUCCGUGCGCUCUCCAUUUGGCGCACUGUUUUGCCGUGCAUCUUCGUCAGCAUGUGUGCGUACUGCUUCCUGUCUUCUGCCUUCCUGCUCGCCGUAACCAAGGCACUUGCACCGGUGCACCUGUGGCAUUCACGGGCCACUUUCAGAGCGGUACGUCACACAGCCGGCUCUACCACUACUACUGUAAUGAGUUUCGGCAUCUCCAUCGUGUUGCCAGGACUGUGUGGAAGUUCGACUGGUAUGCCGCAUCUCUGACAUUCACGAGCCACUUUCAGAGCGAUGUGUCACACAGCCGCCUCUACUAGUAUGCUGGAGUCAUGUUCGGCGUCACCAUCGUACUUACCGGCGUCACCAUCAUAUUCACCGGCGUCACCAUCAUAUUCACCGGCGUCACCAUCGUACUUACCUAGCGUCACCAUCGUACUUACCGGCGUCACCAUUAUAUUCACCGGCGUCACCAUCGUACUUACCUAGCGUCACCAUCGUACUUACCGGCGUCACCAUCGUACCUACCGGCUUCACCAUCGUACUUACCGGCGUCACCAUCAUAUUCACCGGCGUCGCCAUCGUACUUACAUUUGUUGCCAGGACGGACUAUGUGGAAGUUUGACUGGUACUUCGCACCGGUGUCAUUCACCAGCUGCUCCCAGAGGUGUACAUCGCAAAGGCGGCUAUAGUUACUUGUACUCACGGCGUACUCAACCUACUUGCUGCUCUUGUCAGGGAUGCGUGCACGUUUGACUGGUACUCCGCAAGACCCCGAGCAGCCAAUGCCAGUUUCAUGUCAAACUGAAGUCCCGAUGGGUGGAUCCAUUGCUGUUGGCCGUUCCGGUCUGUGCGUUGCUGCUGGUACGUACCAUGUACGUGGCCAGGAAGCGGAGACCUAGGAACAAACUAGCAGGGGGUAAUAAAAUUCCUCACUUGAUUCUCCUUACUUGCGUUACUGUUGGCCCGCUUGUCCUUCCUGCUGUUUGGACUUGUCUGUGUUGGCUCAAUAGUCGUUUGCCUGUCGUCAAUCUCGCGUGCCAACGUGACGUUGGUGGUGCUGAUGGUUGUCAUUGUUAAAGACUCUUCUCGGCAAACUUUUCAGAUCUGUGAUCAAGCCUGAGAGUGCCGGAGUCGCCGGCAAGCUUCUUGUAUCCCAGCAAAACCGACUGCAGCUGGCGCGUGUAUGAGUGUGAGUGCUUGCGCGCACCUAGUACCUGUGAGU